GACGAACGCUGGCGGCGUGCUUAACACAUGCAAGUCGAACGGAAAGGCCCUGCUUGCAGGGUACUCGAGUGGCGAACGGGUGAGUAACACGUGGGUGAUCUGCCCUGCACUUCGGGAUAAGCCUGGGAAACUGGGUCUAAUACCGGAUAGGAGCCAUUUUUAGUGUGAUGGUUGGAAAGUUUUUUCGGUGUAGGAUGAGCUCGCGGCCUAUCAGCUUGUUGGUGGGGUAAUGGCCUACCAAGGCGGCGACGGGUAGCCGGCCUGAGAGGGUGGACGGCCACAUUGGGACUGAGAUGCGGCCCAGGCUCCUACGGGAGGCAGCAGUGGGGAAUAUUGCACAAUGGGCGCAAGCCGGAUGCAGCGACGCCGCGUGGGGGAUGACGGCCUUCGGGUUGUAAACUCCUUUCGCUAGGGACGAAGCUUUUUGUGACGGUACCUAGAGAAGAAGCACCGGCUAACUACGUG
rnacentral:rRNA from 1 species